rnacentral:rRNA from 1 species
UACAGAGGGGGCAAGCGUUAUUCGGAAUUAUUGGGCGUAAAGGGCGCGUAGGCGGCUUGGCAAGUGGAUGGUGAAAUCCCCGGGCUUAACCUGGGAACUGCAUUUGUGACUGCAUCGCUGGAGUGCGGCAGAGGGGGAUGGAAUUCCGCGUGUAGCAGUGAAAUGCGUAGAUAUGCGGAGGAACACCGAUGGCGAAGGCAAUCCCCUGGGCCUGCACUGACGCUCAUGCACGAAAGCGUGGGGAGCAAACAGG